GUAACGGCGAGUGAAGCGGCAACAGCUCAAAUUUGAAAUCUGGCCCCCCGCGGGCCCGAGUUGUACUUUGGAGAGGACGCUUCUGGCGCGGCGCCGUCCGAGUUCCCUGGAACGGGACGCCGGAGAGGGUGAGAGCCCCGUACGGGCGGCCGCCUAGCCUCUGCGAAGCUCCUUCGACGAGUCGAGUAGUUUGGGAAUGCUGCUCAAAAUGGGAGGUAAAUUUCUUCUAAAGCUAAAUACCGGCCAGAGACCGAUAGCGCACAAGUAGAGUGAUCGAAAGAUGAAAAGCACUUUGAAAAGAGGGUCAAACAGUACGUGAAAUUGUUGAAAGGGAAGCGCCUGUGGCCAGACUUGCGCCCCGCGGACCACCCGGCGCCUCGCGCGCCGGGGCACGCCAGCGGGGCGCAGGCCAGCAUCGGCUCUCUCGGGGGGACAAAGGCCGCGGGAACGUAGCGCCCUCGCGGCGUAUUAUAGCCCGCGGCGCCAUGCCCCCGGGGGGGCCGAGGACCGCGCUCCGGCAAGGAUGCUGGCGUAAUGGCCACCGGCGACCCGUCUUGAAACACGGACCAAGGAGUCAAGCAUUGGGGCGAGUGUCUGGGUGGCAAGCCCGCACGCGGAAUGAAAGUGAACGCAGGUGGGAGCUUCGGCGCACCACCGACCGAUCCUGAUGUCCUCGGAUGGAUUUGAGUAGGAGCCCCGCCGCUUGGACCCGAAAGAUGGUGAACUAUGCCUGUAUAGGGUGAAGCCAGAGGAAACUCUGGUGGAGGCCCGCAGCGGUUCUGACGUGCAAAUCGAUCGUCAAAUAU
rnacentral:rRNA from 1 species